rnacentral:lncRNA from 1 species
CCCGGCCCUCCGAGAGCCACCGCCCGGCAGCGCUCUGCGUCCUCCUCUCUGUUCAGCGGGGUCCGACCGUCCUUUUAGAAACCAGUGAAGCUGAGACCCGAGAGAGCAGAACAGGUUCCUGCUCUCCAGUACAACCAUGAGGCAGUGUUAGGAUGUCCCCAUUCUAAGGAUCCAACACCCCAUAUUUAAAAUAUGUGGGUUUAUUCAUCAGGACACAUAAUACCCUCCCUUCCUAGCGGCAGGAAGCAGGACUAGAAAUCUCCGAUCCCUGAAAUGCUAUUGUGCCUGGAGGACAGGCCUCCUCCCUGCGGUCGUGGGGCAACAGUCUAUCCUGCAGAUGUUGGCAGUGUGUUCGACUUACCACUCCCAGGCCAUGGGGAUGGACACGGUCACACUCACGAUGAGCAGACGACACUUCCUCCCUGCACAUACAGCCCACCAUUACCAAACCACUCUGUCCCUGGAAGCACGAACCUGGCUAUUUCAGCUCUGCAGCCCAGCAGUGCCUUUCUUUCUCCACUUCCGAAGCUUCCAAUCCUCCCCAAAAGUGGCUGGAGUCUUUCCUGUCAGUGUGCCAACGUGUGAGUUCUUUAGGGAGCCCACUCUGAGUCACAGGCCAAUGUGGAAGAGCACGCGACAUGAGAGGAGUGAGCAGGGAAACGAGGACGACGCCUUCGUGGGACAGGAGCGGCAGGAGAC